rnacentral:misc_RNA from 1 species
UUUUCUUCCUCACCAUGAAAUUCGCGGAACAUCUAAGCGCUCACAUCACACCGGAAUGGAGAAAACAGUAUAUCAACUACGAGGAAAUGAAGGCUUUGCUGUAUGCUGCAGUAGAGCAGGCUCCAUCCGCAGAUGUAAGCGAACCAUACGUUUUAGAUAGCUUCUACAGCAAGUUUGAUGAGAAGUUUUUCCAUUAUUGCGAUAAGGAACUGACAAAAAUAAAUACCUUCUAUUCUGAAAAGUUAGCAGAAGCUACACGUAGAUUUGCCACACUUAACAACGAACUAAGCGAGAUUUUAUCAGUUUCUGAGGAUGCACUAAGUCGUAAGGCACGCUACCGCAGUCAUAUUCUUCACAAAAAGCCGGUAUCGGCACGCAAACUUCAAGAGUUAAAAUUAGCCUUCUCCGAAUUCUACCUUUUUCUUAUUCUACUUCAAAAUUACCAAGACUUGAAUUUUACUGGAUUCCGAAAAAUUUUGAAGAAACAUGACAAACUUCUGAAUGUAGACUUUGGUGGCAAAUGGCGCGCAGAACACGUUGAUACGGCGAUUUUCCAUACACGGAAGGAUAUAGAUAGAUUGAUUGUAGAGACCGAGGCUGUAGUCACUCGAGAUCUGGAGCAUGGCGAUCGUCAAAGAGCCAUGAAACGGCUCAGAGUACCUCCACUCGGAGAACAGCUCUCUCCUUGGAUUACAUUUAAAGUCGGUCUUUUUUCCGGUGCUUUUGUCAUACUUUUUAUAGCUGUGAUAUUAUCCGCUAUGCGAUAUAAAAAAAAGGAUAACUGGAAGGUAUUAUGUCGAAUUUAUCGUGGGCCACUUCUUAUGAUAGAAUUCCUCUUUUUGAUGGGAAUUAAUGUUUAUGGCUGGAGAUCUUCUGGCGUAAAUCAUGUGCUGAUAUUCGAACUUGAUCCACGCAAUCAUUUGUCAGAACAGCAUAUCAUCGAAAUGGCAACCAUACUCGGUCUAGUUUGGUCCAUGUCCAUUUUGGGUUUUCUAUACAGCGAUACGUUGGGUAUACCACCAUUUGUUCAACCAAUGCUGUUUUAUGCGCUAUUGGCACUGUUCUUAUUCAAUCCUACCAAGACUUUACGACACGAGGCAAGAUUUUGGACGCUGCGCGUUCUGGGUCGCGUUUUUUGCGCACCGUUUUUUUAUGUGGGAUUCGCGGAUUUUUGGCUCGCUGAUCAACUCAAUUCUCUUCAUACAGUCUUUCUAGACUUUCAAUAUUUUGUCUGUUUCUAUAUCCAGAAUUCUUCUUGGACCGACGUUACAGAUACAGACACCUGUAUAAUGCGUGAACUAUCGAUGAGACCGUUUGUGGUAUGUUUACCGGCGUGGUUUCGAUUUGCACAAUGUCUCAGGCGUUAUCGAGAUACGAAAGAGACCUUUCCACAUCUCUUAAAUGCAGUCAAGUAUGCAACAAGCUUCUUCGUGGUUAUUUUCGCUUAUUUGCACUUAACAAACAAGAAAUACUACGCACUGUCUACUGAGAAUCCCUACUUUUACUUAUGGCUGACAGUCAGUGUAGUGAGUUCCUGUUUUACGUACACUUGGGAUGUAAAAUUGGAUUGGGGUCUUUUCGAUAGCAGUGCUGGGGAAAAUAAGUUUCUCAGAGAAGAGAUAGUUUAUUCAUCACCUUAUUAUUACUACUUUGCAAUGGUUGAAGAUUUUAUCUUGCGAUUUGGAUGGGCAUUUUCUUUGUCUCUAACAGAAAUGGGUUAUAUACACGCGGACCUUAUGGUUUCUAUAGUUGCCCCAUUAGAAGUUUUCAGUCGCUAGAAGGUUCGUGUGGAAUUACUUUCGACUGGAGAACGAACAUCUAUACAACGUAGGCAAGUUCCGAGCGGUGCGUGAUAUCUCCAUAGGGCCCAUCAGACGCGAUGAAGAUAACGUAAUCCAUCUGAUGGAUAGUGUAAACGAGAAUGACGAUAGCGAAGAUGACAAUGAUGAUGAAGACCCAUGAUCACGAUGUCUGAUACGUUACGUUUCGUGUGGAACUUCUUCCGCUUAGAAAACGAGCAUUUGAACAAUUGUGGCAAAUUUAGAGCAGUACGGGAUAUC